GAUGAACGCUAGCGGCAGGCUUAACACAUGCAAGUCGAGGGGUAGAGUUUGCUUGCAACCUUGAGACCGGCGCACGGGUGCGUAACGCGUAUGCAACCUACCUUUUACAGAGGGAUAGCCCAGAGAAAUUUGGAUUAAUACCUCAUAGUAUAUAACCUUCGCAUGUUGGUUAUAUUAAAGUUCCAACGGUAAAAGAUGGGCAUGCGUCCUAUUACCUAGAUGGUAAGGUAACGGCUUACCAUGGCAACGAUAGGUAGGGGUCCUGAGAGGGAGAUCCACCACACUGGUACUGAGACACGGACCAGACUCCUACGGGAGGCAGCAGUGAGGAAUAUUGGACAAUGGGCGCAAGCCUGAUCCAGCCAUGCCGCGUGCAGGAAGAAGCAUCUAUGGUGUGUAAACUGCUUUUGUACAGGAAGAAACACCCCGACGUGUCGGGACUUGACGGUACUGUAAGAAUAAGGAUCGGCUAACUCCGUGCCAGCAGCCGCAGUAACAC
rnacentral:rRNA from 1 species